ACUGCUAAUACCGCAUAUGCCUUAGAAUCACAUGGUUCAAAAGGGAAAGGAGCAACCCGCUGAUAGAUGGGCUUGCGUCUGGUUAGAUAGUUGGUGAGGUAACGGCCCACCAAGUCGACGAUCAGUAGCCGGACUGAGAGGUUGAACGGCCGCAUUGGGACUGAGAUACGGCCCAGACUCCUACGGGAGGCAGCAGUCGGGAAUAUUGCGCAAUGGAGGAAACUCUGACGCAGUGACGCCGCGUGCAGGAAGAAGGUUUUCGGAUUGUAAACUGCUUUAGACAGGGAAGAUACAAGACAGUACCUGUAGAAUAAGCUCCGGCUAACUACGUGCCAGCAGCCGCGGUAAUACGUAGGGAGCAAGCGUUAUCCGGAUUUAUUGGGUGUAAAGGGUGCGUAGACGGGAAAACAAGUUAGUUGUGAAAUCCCUCGGCUUAACUGAGGAACUGCAACUAAAACUAUUUUUCUUGAGUGCUGGAGAGGAAAGUGGAAUUCCUAGUGUAGCGGUGAAAUGCGUAGAUAUUAGGAGGAACACCAGUGGCGAAGGCGACUUUCUGGACAGUAACUGACGUUGAGGCACGAAAGUGUGGGGAGCAAACAGGAUUAGAUACCCUGGUAGUCCACACCGUAAACGAUGGAUACUAGGUGUAGGGGAUGAAUAAUCCUCUGUGCCGUCGCAAACGCAGUAAGUAUCCCACCUGGGGAGUACGGCCGCAAGGUUGCAACUCAAAUGAAUUGACGGA
rnacentral:rRNA from 1 species